rnacentral:rRNA from 1 species
UACGUAGGGGGCGAGCGUUGUCCGGAUUUAUUGGGCGUAAAGAGCGUGUAGGCGGCCAGGUAGGUCUGCUGUGAAAACUCGAGGCUCAACCUCGAGACGUCGGCGGAAACCAUCUGGCUAGAGUCCGGAAGAGGAGAGUGGAAUUCCCGGUGUAGCGGUGAAAUGCGUAGAGAUCGGGAGGAACACCUGCGGCGAAAGCGGCUCACUGGACCAUAACUGACGCUGAUGCACGGAAGCUAGGGGAGCAAACAGG